rnacentral:rRNA from 1 species
AACGAACGCUGGCGGCGUGCCUAACACAUGCAAGUCGAACGGAAAGGCCCUUUCGGGGGUACUCGAGUGGCGAACGGGUGAGUAACACGUGGGUGAUCUGCCCUGCACUUCGGGAUAAGCUUGGGAAACUGGGUCUAAUACCGGAUAGGACUACGGACUGCAUGGUCUGUGGUGGAAAGCUUUUGCGGUGUGGGAUGGGCCCGCGGCCUAUCAGCUUGUUGGUGGGGUGAUGGCCACCAAGGCGACGACGGGUAGCCGGCCUGAGAGGGUGUCCGGCCACACUGGGACUGAGAUACGGCCCAGACUCCUACGGGAGGCAGCAGUGGGGAAUAUUGCACAAUGGGCGCAAGCCUGAUGCAGCGACGCCGCGUGGGG